rnacentral:rRNA from 1 species
GACAGAGGGUGCAAACGUUGUUCGGAAUUACUGGGCGUAAAGCGCGUGUAGGCGGUGCGGUAAGUCGGGUGUGAAAGCCCUGGGCUCAACCCCAGGAAGUGCAUUCGAUACUACCGUACUAAGAGUCCCGGAGAGGUUGGUGGAACUCUCGGUGUAGAGGUGAAAUUCGUAGAUAUCGAGAAGAACACCGGUGGCGAAAGGCGGCUAUCUGGACGGUUUCUGACACUAAGCACGAAAGCGUGGGGAGCAAACAGG